rnacentral:rRNA from 1 species
GAUGUCGGCUCAUCACAUCCUGGGGCUGAAGUAGGUCCCAAGGGUAUGGCUGUUCGCCAUUUAAAGUGGUACGCGAGCUGGGUUUAGAACGUCGUGAGACAGUUCGGUCCCUAUCUGCCGUGGGCGUAGGAGAAUUGGUUGGGGCUGCUCCUAGUACGAGAGGACCGGAGUGGACGCACCACUGGUGUUCCGGUUGUGUCGCCAGACGCAUUGCCGGGUAGCUAAGUGCGGAAGAGAUAAGUGCUGAAAGCAUCUAAGCACGAAACUUGCCAAGAGAUGAGUUCUCCCAGAUUAUAAAUCUGUAAGGGUUGUUUAAGACGAAGACGUAGAUAGGUCUGGUGUGUAAGUGUAGUGAUACAUUGAGCUAACAGAUACUAAUUGCCCGAGAGGCUUAACUAUACAACGCUCAAG